rnacentral:rRNA from 1 species
CAGUAGCCGCGGGAAUACGUAGGUGGCAUGCGUUGUCCGGAAUUAUUGGGCGUAAAGGGCUCGCAGGCGGUUUCUUAAGUCUGAUGUGAAAGCCCCCGGCUCAACCGGGGAGGGUCAUUGGAAACUGGGAAACUUGAGUGCAGAAGAGGAGAGUGGAAUUCCACGUGUAGCGGUGAAAUGCGUAGAGAUGUGGAGGAACACCAGUGGCGAAGGCGACUCUCUGGUCUGUAACUGACGCUGAGGAGCGAAAGCGUGGGGAGCGAACAGGAUUAGAGACCCCCGUAGUCCCUGUCUCUUAUAC